rnacentral:rRNA from 1 species
UACGAAGGGUGCUAGCGUUGUUCGGAAUCACUGGGCGUAAAGCGCGCGUAGGCGCUUAACAAGUCAGGGGUGAAAUCCCACAGCUUAACUGUGGAACUGCCUUUGAAACUGUCAAGCUGGAGUGUCGGAGGGGGAUAGCGGAAUUCCUAAUGUAGAGGUGAAAUUCGUAGAUAUUAGGAGGAACACCGGUGGCGAAGGCGGCUAUCUGGACGACAACUGACGCUGAGGCGCGAAAGCGCGGGGAUCAAACAGG